rnacentral:rRNA from 1 species
AAUCCAUAGGUUAAUGAGGCGAACCGGGGGAACUGAAACAUCUAAGUACCCCGAGGAAAAGAAAUCAACCGAGAUUCCCCCAGUAGCGGCGAGCGAACGGGGAGGAGCCCAGAGCCUGAAUCAGCAUGUGUGUUAGUGGAAGCGUCUGGAAAGGCGCGCGAUACAGGGUGACAGCCCCGUACACAAAAGCGCAUGUGCUGUGAGCUCGAUGAGUAGGGCGGGACACGUGGUAUCCUGUCUGAAUAUGGGGGGACCAUCCUCCAAGGCUAAAUACUCCUGACUGACCGAUAGUGAACCAGUACCGUGAGGGAAAGGCGAAAAGAACCCCGGCGAGGGGAGUGAAAAAGAACCUGAAACCGUGUACGUACAAGCAGUGGGAGCCCCACCACCAAAGCAUUCUCUGGUGUUGAAGGCCCUGCAAAGCAGCAUCGCGGUGGCGGAGCGUCGUUUGCGACGCCCAACACACAAAACAAGCGGUGAGUGCUUUGGGGUGGGGUGACUGCGUACCUUUUGUAUAAUGGGUCAGCGACUUAUAUUCUGUAGCAAGGUUAACCGAAUAGGGGAGCCGGAGGGAAACCGAGUCUUAAUUGGGCGUUAAGUUGCAGGGUAUAGACCCGAAACCCGGUGAUCUAGCCAUGGGCAGGUUGAAGGUUGGGUAACACUAACUGGAGGACCGAACCGACUAAUGUUGAAAAAUUAGCGGAUGACCUGUGGCUGGGGGUGAAAGGCCAAUCAAACCGGGAGAUAGCUGGUUCUCCCCGAAAGCUAUUUAGGUAGCGCCUCGUGAAUUCAUCUCCGGGGGUAGAGCACUGUUUCGGCUAGGGGGCCAUCCCGGCUUACCAACCCGAUGCAAACUGCGAAUACCGGAGAAUGUUAUCACGGGAGACACACGGCGGGUGCUAACGUCCGUCGUGAAGAGGGAAACAACCCAGACCGCCAGCUAAGGUCCCAAAGUCAUGGUUAAGUGGGAAACGAUGUGGGAAGGCCCAGACAGCCAGGAUGUUGGCUUAGAAGCAGCCAUCAUUUAAAGAAAGCGUAAUAGCUCACUGGUCGAGUCGGCCUGCGCGGAAGAUGUAACGGGGCUAAACCAUGCACCGAAGCUGCGGCAGCGAACGUAUCACUUAAAGCGAUUCAGCGGGUUACGAUUGACGGAGCGAAGCGACGUCAAAGCGUAUACAAAGUCGAGUCGGUUUAAGGAUACGUUCGUUGGGUAGGGGAGCGUUCUGUAAGCCUGUGAAGGUGUGUCGUGAGGCAUGCUGGAGGUAUCAGAAGUGCGAAUGCUGACAUAAGUAACGAUAAAGCGGGUGAAAAGCCCGCUCGCCGGAAGACCAAGGGUUCCUGUCCAACGUUAAUCG